rnacentral:rRNA from 1 species
AUGCACGCUGGCGGCGUGCCUCAUACCUGCCAGUCGAGCGAACGGACGAGAAGCUUGCUUCUCUGAUGUUAGCGGCGGACGGGUGAGUAACACGUGGAUAACCUACCUAUAAGACUGGGAUAACUUCGGGAAACCGGAGCUAAUACCGGAUAAUAUUUUGAACCGCAUGGUUCAAAAGUAAAAGACGGUCUUGCUGUCACUUAUAGAUGGAUCCGCGCUGCAUUAGCUAGUUGGUAAGGUAACGGCUUACCAAGGCAACGAUGCAUAGCCGACCUGAGAGGGUGAUCGGCCACACUGGAACUGAGACACGGUCCAGACUCCUACGGGAGGCAGCAGUAGGGAAUCUUCCGCAAUGGGCGAAAGCCUGACGGAGCAACGCCGCGUGAGUGAUGAAGGUCUUCGGAUCGUAAAACUCUGUUAUUAGGGAAGAACAUAUGUGUAAGUAACUGUGCACAUCUUGACGGUACCUAAUCAGAAAGCCACGGCUAACUACGUG